rnacentral:rRNA from 1 species
ACGCUGGCGGCAGGCCUAACACAUGCAAGUCGGGCGGUAGAGAGAAGCUUGCUUCUCUUGAGAGCGGCGGACGGGUGAGUAAUGCCUAGGAAUCUGCCUGGUAGUGGGGGAUAACGUUCGGAAACGGACGCUAAUACCGCAUACGUCCUACGGGAGAAAGCAGGGGACCUUCGGGCCUUGCGCUAUCAGAUGAGCCUAGGUCGGAUUAGCUAGUUGGUGGGGUAAUGGCUCACCAAGGCGACGAUCCGUAACUGGUCUGAGAGGAUGAUCAGUCACACUGGAACUGAGACACGGUCCAGACUCCUACGGGAGGCAGCAGUGGGGAAUAUUGGACAAUGGGCGAAAGCCUGAUCCAGCCAUGCCGCGUGUGUGAAGAAGGUCUUCGGAUUGUAAAGCACUUUAAGUUGGGAGGAAGGGUUGUAGAUUAAUACUCUGCAAUUUUGACGUUACCGACAGAAUAAGCACCGGCUAACUCUGUGCCAGCAGCCGCGGUAAUACAGAGGGUGCAAGCGUUAAUCGGAAUUACUGGGCGUAAAGCGCGCGUAGGUGGUUAGUUAAGUUGGAUGUGAAAUCCCCGGGCUCAACCUGGGAACUGCAUUCAAAACUGACUGACUAGAGUAUGGUAGAGGGUGGUGGAAUUCCCUGUGUAGCGGUGAAAUGCGUAGAUAUAGGAAGGAACACCAGUGGCGAAGGCGACCACCUGGACUGAUACUGACACUGAGGUGCGAAAGCGUGGGGAGCAAAC